AGAACGAACGCUGGCGGCGUGGAUAAGACAUGCAAGUCGAACGCUGAUUUCAGGGUAGCAAUAUUCUGGAGUCGGAGUGGCGCAAGGGUGCGUAACACGUGGGUAAUUUGCCAUGAAGCCCGGAAUAACUCGCUGAAAGGCGAGCUAAUACCGGAUGUGAUAUUCGGGAGGCAUCUCCUGAAUCUUAAAGCUGGGGACCGUAAGGCCUGGCACUUCUUGAUAAGCCCGCGGCCUAUCAGCUAGUUGGUGAGGUAACGGCUCACCAAGGCUAAGACGGGUAGCUGGUCUGAGAGGACGACCAGUCGCACUGGAACUGAGACACGGUCCAGACACCUACGGGUGGCAGCAGUCGAGAAUUUUUCUCAAUGGGCGAAAGCCUGAAGGAGCGACGCCGCGUGGGGGAUGAAUGGCUUCGGCCCGUAAACCCCUGUCAUUUGCGAACAAACCUCGUGAUUUAACAGAUGACGAGCUGAUUGUAGCGAAAGAGGAAGGGACGGCUAACUCUGUGCCAGCAGCCGCGGUAAUACAGAGGUCCCAAGCGUUGUUCGGAUUCACUGGGCGUAAAGGGUGCGUAGGUGGCUGGGUAAGUCUGAUGUGAAAUCUCCGAGCCUAACUCGGAAACUGCAUCGGAUACUAUUCGGCUAGAGGGUUGGAGGGGGGACUGGAAUACUUGGUGUAGCAGUGAAAUGCGUAGAUAUCAAGUGGAACACCAGUGGCGAAGGCGAGUCCCUGGACAACUCCUGACACUGAGGCACGAAAGCUAGGGGAGCAAACAGGAUUAGAUACCCUGGUAGUCCUAGCCGUAAACGGUGCACGUUUGCUGUAAAAGGAAUCGACCCCUUUUGUGGCGAAGCUAACGCGUAAACGUGCCGC
rnacentral:rRNA from 1 species